rfam:Gossypium arboreum cultivar AKA8401 contig_26807_1, whole genome shotgun sequence.
AAUCCAUGGUGAGGACACCAUCACAGUAGGUCCUUGUAUCUCUCCCAUGCAUCGUAAAAUGUUUCUAAGUCCAUCUGAUCAAACGAAGAGAUAUCAUUACGUAAUU